GCACUGGUAGUGUAAUGGGUUCACAUCCUGCUCGAAGGCAGGGAGUGCGGGUUCAAGUCCCGCCUGGGGCG
rnacentral:tRNA from 1 species